rnacentral:tRNA from 1 species
GGGGCUGUAGCUCAAUUGGGAGAGCGAUGGCUUUGCAAGCCAUAGGUCGCCGGUUCGAUCCCGGUCAGCUCCA